rfam:Pteropus alecto contig50702, whole genome shotgun sequence.
GUGUGCAGUGCCUUUCGCAAGAAGGUGUCAUUCAUGUACACUAAAAUAUGAAUGGCGCCUUUUAGCGAAGAGCAAUGUACAA